AGAGUUUGAUCAUGGCUCAGAUUGAACGCUGGCGGCAUGCUUUACACAUGCAAGUCGAACGGUAACAGGUCUUCGGAUGCUGACGAGUGGCGAACGGGUGAGUAAUGUAUCGGAACGUGCCCAGUAGUGGGGGAUAACUACUCGAAAGAGUGGCUAAUACCGCAUGAGAACUGAGGUUGAAAGCGGGGGGACCUUCGGGCCUCGCGCUACUGGAGCGGCCGAUGGCAGAUUAGGUAGUUGGUGGGAUAAAAGCUUACCAAGCCGACGAUCUGUAGCUGGUCUGAGAGGACGACCAGCCACACCGGGACUGAGACACGGCCCAGACUCCUACGGGAGGCAGCAGUGGGGAAUUUUGGACAAUGGGCGCAAGCCUGAUCCAGCCAUGCCGCGUGCAGGAUGAAGGCCUUCGGGUUGUAAACUGCUUUUGUACGGAACGAAAAAGCUCUCUCUAAUACAGGGGGUGAAUGACGGUACCGUAAGAAUAAGCACCGGCUAACUACGUG
rnacentral:rRNA from 1 species